rnacentral:tRNA from 1 species
GCCGAAAUAGCUCAGGGGCAGAGCAACUGAUUCGUAAUCAGUAGGUCCCCGGUUCAAUCCCGGGUUUCGGCU